AGCAUCCAACCAAACAAAUUGAUCUGCCUGCUUUUUAUUUCAAUGUACACCAUAAAUGACAUGCAACUAUAUUUUUCCGACAUUUCAUCAAUCUUUGUCCACCUGCAACACCAGGUUAAGCAUGCAUAUAAAUAUCAGGUUAUUUGUGGUUCAACAUAGACUCAAGAUCCCAUCAUAACAUAUAAAAUUGCAAUAUUAGCCCAAAAUAACCUAAUGUAUAAUCCCAGUGACUGGAACUAAUGGUGGGCUAAAGAGAGCGCUGCAAAUUGCACUAUUACCACUCCAUAAUACAAUUCUCCAUGUUAUAUUCUCAAAUGUGACCACAAUAGGUUGACAAAAUAUGCCGUUAGCCUGAAAAUUCGUUGUACUUGAAAACACAAUCAUAAAGCCGCCCCCCAAGGAACUGUGCAACCUCCAGGUGCUUCACCUGUAAAGAGAAGAGAGAGAGAGAGAGAGAGAGAGAGAGAGAGAGGGCAAAUGUGAAUCUGUUGCUGUGUUGCUUCUUGACAUGGUCUCAACAGGCCAAAGAAUUAUUGACACAUACAGGAUCAACGGAGAAAACUUAUAGAUCAAAGUCGAGAUACUUGAAGCAUCUGAUCCAAGUGUUACAAAAUCUACAUCCCCAUGAGCCAUGAAUGGACCCAUAGCAAGUACAAUUAUCACAAUCCGUGAAAUCAAGUAGCAAAAGUUACUCCUCGCUGUAAUUUCUAAUCAGCUUGUAGCUUUUCUUGCUAGUCACCCCCUUUGUUUAGCUAGCACAAUCCCUGACACCAUUAGUAUCUUCUUCUUCGUUAAGCACUGACGUCAAAACUGGCCUUGAAUAUUUGGCUCUUCAAACACAUGAAUGCUCGACUACUUACUAUUGCUGCUGCAUUUCGUACUUCCAUGAAGUCAACUCAGAUGGGAUCAAACCUUCAUCACAGGAAAGCACAGCCUGGGCCAUUAGCUUCCCAAGCCACCCAUGGAACAGCAGACCUCUUGCCCCCAACCCUGUAAACAACCAGUACUUACAACCACCAUUAUUACCACCAUGUAUCAAGUUAUCUAUGCAGCCAAGAAUUGGAAGCGAUCCAUCUGCAGUGAGUGGUGGCAUCGCCCUUAGUCCUGCCAUUGCACCAGUUAUUGUCCAUUCUUUAAUGGGUGGGUACACAGCAGAUGCCUUUGGUAGAAGCACUUCCAUCGCCUUAGUAGCUUCCUCCACAGAAACGUCCCUUGAAUAAUUUGUAGACUUCCACUCCCAUGUUGAACCCAUAUGCAUACUGCGAGCACCUUGUACAGAAAGCCAUGCGUCUGACAAGAUUGAAGGGCUAUAUUUCGGAUAAUCUUUUCUGCAACAAAUAUUAAGAGAUAAAUUAUUAAGAACUCUACUCCCUAGAUGGAAAAAAUAAAUAUUUGGACAAGAAUCUGGAACAAUGCCUAGCUGUUCAACAUGGAGUCAUCACAGAACAAUAUAAGAUGACUAGAUGCGCAAUUUUCAACUGCGUAAGCACUGAGAUGUCAAGAGAAGCUAUAGCAUCUCAUAUCGUGUAUGUUUGGUAAAGCAUUUUGUAGAUUAUAACAUAUGGGUCCCACGUAAUAUAUGAAUAAAAUUAGGGUCCUACGAAAUGUAUGGAUAAAAUUUGUAGGUCCUACAAAAUGUGCAAAUAAAAAUGAUGUUUGACCAACUUAUAAGCUUGAAAAAGCUUUACCAAACAUAGUGGUUGGAAUUUACAAACAAAAUCUAUAUGCCUAUUAUUGUUGCAGCGCAUAAAAUAAUAUAUUAUACCGUUCUACAUGAAAGCAUAGCAACAUGAGAUUUACCUGAGAUCAUUAGUAAGCUGCAAGCGAGUAACUAAACCUCUGCACAUCCGUAAAGGGAGCCUUCCCGAGAGCUCUGGCAAAAAGGCAGCCCUGGCGCCUAGACAAAUAAUAAUUGCAUCGUAUUCCCCUGAAAACAAAUGCUAUUAGUUUUCCUUUCUCAGAAUCACGAAUCACAAAUUAUCAAAAAGAAAAAGCACUUGUCAAACAACGAACGGUGAGUUUCAUGUUGAUUGUGCAAGGCUGAAGGUUGCUAGAUAUUAUGACUGAAAUUUCAAGUAUAAGGCCAAGGCUUAAAGCUGAUGCUUGUCCAUCUAUGGAGCCUUCUGUCUUAGCUUAAAAUUGUUCCUUACAUGUUCCAUUAUGCUUUCGAUUGCAUGUAGCAAGACCAUUUUUAAGAUAUAUAUUUGAGUAAGGUGUAUCAUAAGUAGUUAUGUUUAUAUUUUUGGUAAGAUGAAUACUUGUAAGCGCGUAAAGAAUGUCAAACAACUGAAAAAGAUAUUUUGCUAUUUAAUGUAUAAAAUUUGACUCAAGAGACUUACAUUUGAAAUAUUGCAGAGCAAUUCAAUUAAAGUUUAUUAUUUAACUUAAUUUAAAAUGUUAGUAGUUAAAAGAAAUUAUUAUCUUCAUAUAACUUUCUAAAAUAUUUAACAUUUGAAACUAUUUUUAAAUAUCUUAAAAUUUUAAAUUGUUAUAAUUAAUGUGUAAAGGCAUAAAUAAUUGAGGAACUUACUGACCACUUUUAGGAAUACAAAUAAGUACCAGAAGCACAUAAUAAUGAAAUAAAACCCUAUGAAGCCAACUUGUUUGCUCAAUAAUAUUUAAAAUCAAUUUGAGAAUUGAUUAUUUUGAUUGAAAAUAUAUAUUUUUUUAAAAAUGAACUGAUUCUGAACCUGCAAUAUUUUGAAUUAAAUAAGCAACUUGUUCUUUUAAAAUUAUGGUCCCCUUCUAGUCAAAUAAACCUUUUUACUUGAAAGUAAAGUAUUAGAAAAAAAAUUCUUAUCAGCUCUAUCAAAUACUAAUAAACCCAUAUGUUUGGCCCCAUUUCUUAAAACUCAUCUUUCCUCAAACUGAUUUUCAACCCCACAUUUUGGGAUCCAGCAUAAAAAAGUCUAAAUUUUAUCCAAACCAAACAUGGGCUAAGUUUGAUUUAUUAAAAGAUUUGACCAAAAAAAAAAAAAUUAUGAAUACAAAAUAGCCACUAAUCUAGAUCGAGAUAAUUAUACCCUGUAGUUAAUUUAGUUUAUGCAUUAAGAGAGCAUCAAAAGUAGUUAUAGUCCUAUCACCUAUGAUGAUUUAAUUAUCUCCUUGCAGUUUUCAAAAGCUCAGUAUCCUUCCUCUUUGAGGAAGGGGGAACUUAUUGCAAUCAAUGCAUUUUCUUUAAAACCUAGGUGGUUAUAUACACAGACUUUACAAUUGCAAAAAAAAAAAAAAAAACUUCAUACUUAACAUGUAAUUACGCGAACAAAGAAAUCAUAUGGAGGAUACCUGAUAGUUCUAAGAGGUUCUCAACAGAUUUCUUGUGCAAAGACAGUUCUUUCCGUGCAACACCCACCUUGGACAUGUCUUCUGCUAGAUUUUCACAUGCUAGGUACAGUGCCUACAUGAAUAUCACGAGAGGGAAAAUAGCAAAAGAAAUAAUCUGAACAGAUAUCAUUUCAGACAUUAAAAUCAUUAAGCCUUUCUACGAACCUCAAGAUAGCAUUGAGAAUUAAUACUCAGGGCUUCAGGCAUAUAAAAUGCCAAGUUUAAUGGUACAGAAAUAUCAGGCACAAGACCCUGAGCAGCAUCCUCAUGAAUGGACUCUAUUCUGCAACCGGUAAGGCAGUUCUCAGCAUUCUAUUCAUAGAAAAUAAGAUGAAUUUGCAUCAGCAAGAAGUCAAAUUGAAACUCCUUGCUUAGUUAGCUAGUAGAAAAGGGCUUACACUACUCAUUAGGUCUAUAUUCUUCGAGCUGAGAGCUGGUCUUAGGAUUCCUCUGAAGUAAAAAAGUGGAUAUCAGAGGGUGUUACUUGUAAAGAAAGAGGAAAAAUUACAUCGGCAUCAUAAGAUGAACUUCAUAAUGUAUAAGUAAUGCUUAUAGGUGCUAAAUUAAGUUCAGGAAAGAAAAAGAAAAGCAUAAUAUCCCUAAGUCACCCUUUAUAGCCGCUAAACUAUAACAAUAUAAACACCCACCAUAAUGCUAUAGAUUGGAAACAAAAGUUGUUCACAGAACAAGGUUUAUGCUUGGAAAUAUGUUUAUGAUUUGCUCCUAUUCAGGUCUUCAUGCAGCCAAUAUUGUCUUGGAUAUGGUAAUAAAAAAGUCAAUGAGAAAUCAUUGGAGCGGCUAUUUAUUAAGCCAGUGAAUAAUUCUGUAUAGGAAUAUGGAUAUGUUAUGGAACAAUUGUAAGAAAGAACAAACCUCCUAUUGACGAUGGAAGGUUCACUGUUUGGGGGAGAGUCUUGAUUUCCCCCGUUUACUAGCUUAAAUAGUGCACCCUCAGCAACAUUAAGAAGAUCUAAACUCUCUUUCCAGCACUCUGCGCCCCGCCAAAGUAGCUUAACUACAAAAAUAAACAGUCUCACUCAAAAAUAGAUCAUGUUUUCAAACACUAAUACCUCUUGGAAAAUUGCAAGUCAUCGAAAAGAUAGUUGGACAAAAAUUGAUAGGAAAGAUCAUAAUGGGAACAGGGCUAAAGAGAUAUGGACCUUUUGGGGAGUAUGGAUGCAAGAGUCCACCAGCAACUCCAGAGGCACCUCCACCAAUGCCGACUUGAUCAUAAAUAUCGAUGCACACAUCCAAUUUCUUGGAACUGCACUGCAAGCACAAGUACCCAGUAGUUGGCGAAGGAUGGAAGAAAAGAAGAAACCAGCAAUCUUGAAUUGAGCAUUUAUACAAACACAAUUUAAAGUUAAAGCACGAUAAUUGCCUAAACUAAAUCAAAUUCUAAUUUAGGUGAAAUGGAGAACCAUAAAAAUUUCUCCAAACAAAAUUAAACUUCAAUAAGAUCAAAGUAACUAUAAAUAAAAGAAAACUGCAUCAUAAUCAUAGUAAGUACACAUAAAGCGCCAUUUAUCAAGUGCAUCAAACACAUAUUAUCAAAACAGGCAUAUCACACUCUUGCGGCACAAAUAUUCAAACGAACUUCUAAUCCUUUAAUAAGGCUCACUUGACCACCAAUUUCAAGGGUUUAUUACCCAUUUUCUUGCUCAUUAAUCCCAAAAACUAAGGAUGACAAAAGUAGAAUAAAGUGGUUAGUUGACCACCUGUUCCUUGUUUAUAUAUAGGGCAUAACCUAUAAAAAUUAGUAAACAAAAUUUACUAUAUACACAAAUCUUAUUAUUUACUUUUUAUUUCAUUAGAUUAUUCUCCUUAUGCUUGACUUGAGCAUUGGACGGCCAUUGCUAGUGCAAUCCGGAACACCCUCUACCGCUCAUCUAUUUUGAAAUUAUUGCCAAGAUAGAGAAGAUGAUGAAUCAAUGAAGACAUUUACAACCAUACACAUUAUAUUCUUUUGAUAAGACAAAUUUAGACUAUGCUGUACAUUCUAUAUGGUAUUUGCAUGCUCGUGAGCAUAGUGGCUCCAAAACUCAUAAUAUUUGGAGCUUUGACUAGAAACUCAUACGCCAGAAGAUUAGACAAAAUAUUGAGUUUGGGCUAUGACUUGUUUCCGAUAAAAACCCUUGCAGAGAAAAAAAAAAUAACUAAAAGAAUUGAUUUCUAUAUUAAUUGAAGACUUCAUUUUCUUUUUAUAUAUUCAGGUACUAGAAAACUUCAUUUUCAAUCACAAUUCAAAUCAGUUGGUCUAAACAAACAUCUCCAAAAAUCCAAAGAAUGAGAGAUUGAGAGAGAGUACAUUGAGCAAAUGCCAAGCUACAGACAACCCAGCGAAGCCAGCACCAAGAACUGCAUACCUACAUUUUUGUAUACAACAAAAACGAUUUAGACCACAACACAUACAAUUAACUCUACAUAUAUGUUAUAGAAAUAGGAAGAGAAGAGAAAGGCAGCACCUGAUGGGUCGAUUCGAGAGAGAAGCGGAAGAAUGGCAAGAAACAGGGACCAGCGAAGAUGAUAUAUUAGAGUAAAAUAAAGGCAUGGGUACAGUGAUAACUGAUGUAUCCACCAUUGAAUUUGACGAUGAGUCCCCUUUGCUAGCUUAAUUCAAUUAAGAGAAAAUUGGACUACUCGUCCUCAAUCUAUUGACGCAAGGGCAAUCUCAUUCCUUAUCUUUUUUUCCAGCAUGAUCCUAAACUUAUAGUAUUGACUAAUGCUAUUUUGGGAUGGCAAACAAGUCAAGCGGGGCUUGUGAGUUCGGCUUGUCCCAGUUCUGUCCAUAGAUGACUCGAGCUCGCUUUAAUACGAACUAUGGAUCAAGUUGAACUUAUUUUGUUCACAGACCAAACUUGGUCAACUUGUUAGGUAUACGCACCAAUUCAUUUGAGCUCAUGUGCCAACUCAUCAGUACAAGCCCAUAAACUAGUGUGUUUGGGCUCGUGGACUGACUCAUUUUUUAUUCCUCAUUUUUUGAUUUAAUUUUAUUAAUUUCUUUUAAAAAUUGCUCCUUUUUAUUAAUUUAAUUUAAAAACAAGAUAGCUUGACUUAGCUCGUUUGGACUUGUGGAUGGCUUGACUCGUGAGGCCCAUAAGCCAGAGAGCCGAGCCAAUCAUAAGAUUCAAACACAAGCCAAGCUCAAUUUGCCCAUAGGGACGAGUCGAGCUCAUGUGUCUACAGCCCACCCCUAAUGCUAUUUAGCACAAUAAAACACCAACCUAAUUACUAUUACAGAAUAAUUCCAACUAAAUAGAUCUCAUAUUCUUCAUCACAAAAAUUUGUUAGUAUGCAAAAACGGUGUAACACUCCAACCAUCUACUCAAUCUGUUAGGAUGUUACUCUAUCAUUCAUAAUUCUUAAGAUGAUCUACUUUAGUGGCUCAAUAAAUCCCCACGAAUCUACAAUUACAAAAUGGAGUCGUUUAGACCUUUUUGGGUUUUGUAGGGAGUAUUUGAAUGGCUUUGCUCUAUUAACAAAAUAACUUAGCAUCCAACCAAACAAAUUGAUCUGCCUGCUUUUUAUUUCAAUGUACACCAUAAAUGACAUGCAACUAUAUUUUUCCGACAUUUCAUCAAUCUUUGUCCACCUGCAACACCAGGUUAAGCAUGCAUAUAAAUAUCAGGUUAUUUGUGGUUCAACAUAGACUCAAGAUCCCAUCAUAACAUAUAAAAUUGCAAUAUUAGCCCAAAAUAACCUAAUGUAUAAUCCCAGUGACUGGAACUAAUGGUGGGCUAAAGAGAGCGCUGCAAAUUGCACUAUUACCACUCCAUAAUACAAUUCUCCAUGUUAUAUUCUCAAAUGUGACCACAAUAGGUUGACAAAAUAUGCCGUUAGCCUGAAAAUUCGUUGUACUUGAAAACACAAUCAUAAAGCCGCCCCCCAAGGAACUGUGCAACCUCCAGGUGCUUCACCUGUAAAGAGAUGAGGAAAAAUUGAUUAUUCCAUAAACUGACGACACAACAGAUGGAGAGGG
rnacentral:lncRNA from 1 species